rnacentral:rRNA from 1 species
UGCCAGCAGCCCCGGUAGUAUUGAAGGUGCAACCCUCAAUCGCAAACACUGGGCGUAAAGCGCUCGUAGGUGCCUUUGUAAGUCAGAUGUGAAAGCACACGGCUCAACCGUGGAAUUGCAUUUCAUACUGCAUCGCUAGAGUAUAGGAGAGGGAAGUGGAAUUUCUGGUGUAGGAGUGAAAUCCGUAGAGAUCAGAAGGAACACCGGUGGCGAAGGCGACUUCCUGGACUAUUACUGACACUGAGGAGCGAAAGCGUGGGGAGCAAACAGGAUUAGAUA